rnacentral:snRNA from 1 species
GGAAGGACAUUGCCUUUCUUCUGGAAAUUAGAAUGGUACAGAGAAGACUGGCAUGGCCUCUGCUCAAUAAUGAUAUGUAAAUUUAUGAAGUGUUCCAUGUUCUU